AAGUGGAAGCAACCGAUGCUUUGGUCAUUCUACUCCUUGAUGCCAGUCUGUGCUUGCUGUCAUGCUGGCAAAAGCGGGGGUCUCGGCCGGCUUUACCUACUAUUGGAUUUGAACCAAUGA
rnacentral:rRNA from 1 species